rnacentral:lncRNA from 1 species
GCCCUUUAAUCAACCAGCCAAAGGUUAUCUUCUCAGGUUUGAAAUAAAAAUGAGAGCCAUGAUCGGCAGCAUGGCUACUCAGAGUCGAUGAAGGCAUGUUGAUUAUUUUCAUUUGCGGACAUGGUUGCCAAGCAGAACAUUGAUUGAUGGUGACCCACUCAACAUUUCGUUGCUCAACAUGAUGAUCGGAGGAGAGCCGAUUGCCAGCCCAUGAGUCCAUCUAUGCUGUCCAAACCAAAUCCUCACUCCUAGGAGGCUUCUCGAUUACAAAAGCACUUCGGCACUUGAAAAUGAAAAUUAAGUGGUGGGUUAUUACACUUUACACUCGGAGAAUAAAGUUGGAGGAGGUUUUAAACUGUGUCUAGAAUUUUGUCUCUCAAUCUCUCCCAAGUGCAUAACAUGUGGAAUCUGGAUUGUUUAUUGUAUAUGAGCUGAUAAUGGUUUGUGGUGAAAGCUGAAAGCUGAAAGCUCAUGUGGUAUAAUUUUCAAGAGCCCGUGACAGAGUGGGGGCGUCUGUUUUUGUUUUCCUGCUCUCUAGCCAUUAGCUUCCCCAAAAUGUGCUGAGUAUUUUCUACAUUAGGAUAUGCAUAUGUUCUUUGAAUUUAGCUGAACAUAUUCCUAAAUUUAUUUAAGAUCUUAAGCAAAAGGGCGUCAUAGAGACAUCUUAGAUGUAUAUAAUAUCUAUCUCUUUCGUUCUUUCCAUAAGAAACCCUGAGCUGUAGUAGAGUUGGAAUGCAACACUGAGCUCCU